rnacentral:rRNA from 1 species
AUGGGCGAGCCCGCGGAUGGUUUCUUUCUCCGCCUUCCGCCGGAGCUCGUGGACGAGAUCCUACUCCGCCUUCCGCCGGACGAGCCCGCCUGCCUCGUCCGCGCCUCCGCCGUCUGCAAGCCCUGGCGCCGCUUCUUCGCCAGCGCGAACUUUCGCGGCCGCUACCGCGAGUUCCACGGGGCACCUCCCGUCCCGGGGCUCGUCCAAGAGGCCGCAAGCUUCUUCGCGAUAUCUGCGCUUCCAACCCUACCAGACCUUUCACACUUGGUCGCCGCUGCCCUGAAGGCCCUGGACUGCCGCCACGGACGCUACGUGUUUGACUCAUACGACCAGUACUGGCAGGGGGAUACCGUUCACCUGACCGUCCUGGACCCUCUGACGGGCCAUGGGCGUCGCAUUCCCACACCCAUGGACAAUCGUUUGCUCUGGUACAGUGUGGCCGUGCUCUGCGCCACACAAGGCUGCGACCACCACGAUUGCCAGGGAGGGCACUUCAGUGUGGUCAUCGUGACCACCAAUCACGAGCAAAGGGUGACCCUAGGUUGGCUCUACUCGUCCGAGACAGAGUUGUGGAGUGCUCUUACAAGUGUUUCCCAUCCAAAUGUCCUCAAGUAG